UACACUUUCCCACGCCCAUCAUGUUUCACCUACAGCUACCAAAUUUGGUACACAUAUGCAGCACAUCAGACUGAACAAAAAAGUCAGUGACAGCCAUAUUCCAAACCCAACAGGAAGUGAGCUGUUUUACGUUGAAUGUCAGAUUUUGCCCAUUUUUCAUUUUUUUCCAGAGCGAACUCCUCCCAGGGGGAAACUCCAAUUCGCCUCAAAUUCAACCAGUACAUACAGGAGGCCUUAAUGAGCAAAAGUUAUUAAAAUCUUUUUCAAAAGUCAAA